rnacentral:rRNA from 1 species
AUGCAAGUCGAACGGUAACAUUUCUAGCUUGCUAGAAGAUGACGAGUGGCGGACGGGUGAGUAAUGCUUGGGAACUUGCCUUUGCGAGGGGGAUAACAGUUGGAAACGACUGCUAAUACCGCAUAAUGUCUUCGGACCAAACGGGGCUUCGGCUCCGGCGCAAAGAGAGGCCCAAGUGAGAUUAGCUAGUUGGUAAGGUAACGGCUUACCAAGGCGACGAUCUCUAGCUGUUCUGAGAGGAAGAUCAGCCACACUGGGACUGAGACACGGCCCAGACUCCUACGGGAGGUAGCAGUGGGGAAUAUUGCACAAUGGGGGAAACCCUGAUGCAGCCAUGCCGCGUGUGUGAAGAAGGCCUUCGGGUUGUAAAGCACUUUCAGUUGUGAGGAAAAGUUAGUAGUUAAUACCUGCUAGCCGUGACGUUAACAACAGAAGAAGCACCGGCUAACUCCGUGCCAGCAGCCGCGGUAAUACGGAGGGUGCGAGCGUUAAUCGGAAUUACUGCGCGUAAAGCGCACGC